GUGCUUGCUUCAGCAGCACAUAUACUAAUACUGGAACAAUACAGUGAUUAGCAUGACGCCUGUGCAAGGAUGACCUGCAAAUUCAUGAAGCAUUCCAUAUUUAA
rnacentral:snRNA from 1 species